rnacentral:rRNA from 1 species
UCGAGAAUCUUCCGCAAUGGGCGCAAGCCUGACGGAGCGAUGCCGCGUGAGGGAAGAAGGCCUUCGGGUUGUAAACCUCUGUCACCCGGGACGAAAUCAAUGACGGUACCGGGAGAGGAAGUCACGGCUAACUACGUGCCAGCAGCCGCGGUAACACGUAGGUGGCGAGCGUUAUUCGGAUUCACUGGGCGUAAAGGGUCCGCAGGGGGCCUGCCAAGUCUGUCGUGAAAACCCGGGGCUCAACCCCGGGCCUGCGGUGGAAACAGGCGGGCUGGAGUGAGUGAGGGGCAGACGGAACACCUGGUGUAGCGGUGGAAUGCGUGGAUAUCAGGUGGAACACCGAUGGCGAAGGCGGUCUGCUGGCACACAACUGACCCUCAGGGACGAAAGCGUGGGUAGCAAACAGG